AUACGGAGGGUGCAAGCGUUAUUCGGAAUCACUGGGCGUAAAGGACGCGUAGGCGGGUUGGCAAGUCAGAUGUGAAAUCCUACAGCUUAACUGUAGAACUGCAUUUGAAACUGCUAACCUAGAGUAUGGGAGGGGGAGAUGGAAUUAGUGGUGUAGGGGUAAAAUCCGUAGAUAUCACUAGGAAUACCGAAAGCGAAGGCGAUCUCCUGGAACAUAACUGACGCUAAGGCGUGAAAGCGUGGGGAGCAAACAGUAUUAGAAACCCUAGUAGUCC
rnacentral:rRNA from 1 species